rnacentral:misc_RNA from 1 species
AUGAUUUUUUUUUUUUUUUUUGCUGACCUGGGUGGACACUUGAUCAGUUGUCUAUAUUAAUGUGUAUCAGCUAAACUUGAAGCUUUUUUACGUUAAUAAAUUGGUGAUCCUUGGCAAGCAGCAUUUUGCUAUGCCUGAUAUGAUGGUGGCAGUUUGUCUGGCACAAUGAGUUUUGCUUCCUUAUUCAGUGGUGUUUAUGUUUUAACGUCACUGAAAAUGAUAAUCAUAUUCUUUUGUGGUGGCUAAAGCCAAUUGAAACCUCAGAAAGGGUUAAUCACUGGCCCAAAAUGCAAGCUCUAGUGAUAGCUUAUGAUGCUUGUUAAUAUGUGUUCAACUUGCCAUUUGAUGGUGCUGCUACCCCUUGUUCUGUCACUUAAUGAAUGAUUUUGAUGAGUGGAAAAAGAGAGGGAAAAUUUCUCAUCUCGCCAUUUAACA